GCGGACAACGGAGACCAGACCUACUGCAGCCACGCGGGCGAGCGGCUGUGUGGAUGUCGGCGAAGCCGCGGGCGAGCCUCGGUGGAAGAUGGGGCCAAGGGAAAGUCCAGAGCCUGGGCCAUCUCCAGCCUCACUCACCCUCCUCCCUCACCUGGUCCCUGGGCUGAGGAUCAUGGCCCGGCCUGAGAACCCCCAAGGCAGCAUGCAGAGGCCGGGUCUGCACCGAGCCCUGACACUGACAGGCUGUGUGACGACGACUGACAACUAACCCUCUCUGGUUUUACUUUCUAUCACCUCUUAGGCAGAGCAGUGGGCGCAGAUGCCAUGGCGGGAAGCAGGCCUUUCUGAAUUCUUAGCAGCGAUCUCCAGGGGCACUCUAACCUUGCAAGAAAGAGGCUGCCAGUCUUGCAUCAGAUGCAGAAACCAGGGCGCAGAGUAGGAGCUAGAGCAUCUUGGAUGGAGAAACCUCGGCAAAGACAAAGGCCCAUUGUCCCCCUUCCCCGGCCUU
ensembl:lncRNA novel transcript